AUACGUAGGGGGCAAGCGUUGUCCGGAAUUAUUGGGCGUAAAGGGCGUGCAGGCGGUUUCUUAAGUCUGAUGUGAAAUCUUGUAGCUUAACUACAAGCGGUCAUUGGAAACUGGGAGACUUGAGUGCAGAAGAGGAGAGUGGAAUUCCACGUGUAGCGGUGAAAUGCGUAGAUAUGUGGAGGAACACCAGUGGCGAAGGCGACUCUCUGGUCUGUAACUGACGCUGAGGCGCGAAAGCGUGGGGAGC
rnacentral:rRNA from 1 species